GAAUGGCUGGGUGAACAGCCAAGGGAGAAAGGGAAGGGAUGGUUUCUAUCAUUGGAUUGAACUGUAAAGGAGCUGCAGGGUGACAGAUGUUGGCAGGAAUUCCAGUGGAGUUUGUGUGUACAGUGACUCCCUAGCAGAGCUGACACCUUCAAAGGCUAGGUGUACACCCUGGCAGAAGGAAAGGUUGCAACAUCACCAAGUUGGGGCAUUUGCCAGAGGUACGUACCAAGGCAUUUGUAAAGUUGAGGCUGCUGGUAAAGUUCCAAGAAGCCCUUUUUAAGACUGAGUAGAGGGAGGAGAAGCCAAGGGCAACCCAAGGCCAUCUCACCACUACUCCAAGGAAUGGUCCAUGGAGACAACAGAUUCAAGAGCAAAUAUAAUGCAAGUUCCUUGAUUCAUGCUCUCUAUUGGCUGGGAACUUUGAGCUCUUCCUUGGAGGAGGGAGGGUAAUCAGGUUGUCUGUGUUUUGUUGGGAGGCCAUAUUAUUGCUGAAGGGAUUGAAGAAUUUUC
rnacentral:antisense_RNA from 1 species